rnacentral:rRNA from 1 species
UGUUGCAGUUAAAAAGCUCGUAGUCGAACUUUGGGCUUGGUUGGCCGGUCCGUUUUUAUGACGUGUACUGGUUCCAACCGAGCCUUUCCUUCUGGCUAACUAUCCUUUCGGGGGUAGCGAACCAGGACUUUUACUUUGAAAAAAUUAGAGUGUUCAAAGCAGGCCUUUGCUCGAAUAUAUUAGCAUGGAAUAAUAGAAUAGGACGUUUGGUUCUAUUUUGUUGGUUUCUAGGACCAUCGUAAUGAUUAAUAGGGACGGUCGGGGGCAUCAGUAUUCAAUUGUCAGAGGUGAAAUUCUUGGAUUUAUUGAAGACUAACUACUGCGAAAGCAUUUGCCAAGGACGUUUUCAUUAAUCAAGAACGAAAGUUAGGGGAUCGAAGAUGAUCAGAUACCGUCGUAGUCUUAACCAUAAACUAUGCCGACUAGGGAUCGGGUGUUGUUUUUUUAACGACUCACUCGGCACCUUACGAGAAAUCAAAGUCUUUGGGUUCUGGGGGGAGU